rfam:Sphingomonas sp. Root720 contig_4, whole genome shotgun sequence.
GCUGGCCACGCGGGAGAACGUCGGGGAGACCCGGCCACCGAAGGAGCAACCGCCCCGGAAUCUCUCAGGUCAAAGGACCGCGUGGCAAGG